CUGCGUCUUCCGCUUGACUACCUGUGCUCCUAAGCUACUGCACACUUAGACACAAGGUUAGAACAACACAGGACCUAACUUAACUUGUUGAUCACACAAAAAUAACCUUGGGGUUCCAACACACAAGACAUAAGCCAAACUGGGAUAUCUUCUUACCCAAAGAAAAGCAAAUAAUUUCUGCGUUUGUUGAAGAGACCCUCAUCUAACAUUUAUAGGAAGAUCUGGGGCUAGACUAUGCAGGAGAUACAAGCCCAGGGAUCACUAUACUCCAAUCCAUAGACUUUACCCUUGAGAAUCCUAUAGAAGAAGAUAGUGAUUUAUCCUAUAUCCAGUAUUUGGCAACACUAAACACUCCCAAAGCAACCAUCUGGGAUGAAUAUGAAGAUGAAAAUCUUUCAGAAGAUUAGAUAAAUCCUUUUUUUACCAUCUCUGAACCACAACAAUUAAUAGCAACUGGGCAUGAGAUGGAGUAUCCAAUACUAAGGCAGUUAUUAGCAAUAGAAUUGCCAGAACCUAGCGAACAACAAGUAUAUUCUACAAGUACAGUCAUAUCACCUUAUCAACCUCCACAAGACACUACUAUGGGACUAUCCGGUUAUCCUCCAGCUAUAAGAGAUCCAGGAACAUCCCAGCCUGUUCAACCAACAUUUCAGCGUGAACAGACAAAGUUAAAGGGUGGUUAUAAUAACGAAAUGUGCAGUUUACCUCCAGCCCAGCAACAAGGAGCCAUUUUUGUCAUUCCAGAACAACUAGGCUUAUUCCAUGAUGUCUUCUCAAGGUGGGAAUCUAUUACUCUCAACCAUGUAGCAGCACAAGGCUUUACUGAUCCUAGUGAAAAAAUUGAAUAUAUGGAAAAUCUGCUAGGAGCGAUAGAAAAGUUAGCCUGGAUACAGUGGAGAAUGACAUACCCCACUGAAUAUGAGGCACUUAUACAAGCUGUUGAAGGAAGAAGAGGAACUCAGAAUAUUAUUUCUCAAAUAAGGAGGGUAUUUUUCUCGGAAGACCCAAUACAAGGAUCCACUGCUAUACAAGAUGAAGCAUACAGAAGCCUAGAGAAAUUAUCAUGUGACAAUGUUAAAAACAUUAUACAAUACAUGAACGACUAUAUGAGGCUUGCUUCAAAAACAGGAAGGCUUUAUACCGGGCGCGAAUUAUCAGAGAAAUUCUGGUUCAAAAUGCUUGGCGAUCUGAGAACCAGAAUUAAAGCAACCUUCGAAGAAAAAUAUACUGGCUUAACAAUUGGCGUUAGUCCAAGAGUUUUAUUCGCUUAUAAGUUUCUACAACAAGAAUGUAAAGAUGUCGCAUUCAAACGAGCUCUCAAAGACUUAUCUUUUUGCAGUCAAAUACCCAUAUCCGGAUAUUAUAAUGGACAAAGCUCAAAGAAAUAUGGUCUUUGAAAAAGCAAAACCUAUAAGGGUAAACCACAUGAUAUCCAUGCACGCAUUGAAAAGAGGAAGCAUAUGCUCAAAAAUAAAAAGUGCAAAUGUUACCUUUGCGGUCAAGAAGGGCAUUUUGCCAGAGAAUGCCCUAAUAAUAAAAGAAGCUCUAAGCGUGUGGCAAUGUUUGAGCAAUUAGACAUCCCCGACGAUUGUGAUAUAUUAUCCGUCCAAGAAGGGGAAGACCAAAGUGAUGCAAUAUUUAGCAUAUCAGUAGGGGAGGAAGAUACUGGCGAUCUCCAAAGGUCAAUACAAACUCUAACCCUCUCUGAAAAUAUUUUUAUGCUUGGGCAAGUUGAUGGGGGAUAUCGUUCCCAGAUAAAGGUUUCAAACGAACAAUACCAGUGCCAACACAAAUGACAUGCUAAUGAAGAUAUUUUCCCUCUACAACCAACAAGGUGCACAGGAUGUAAGAGGGAAACCCUAAAAAGGGCUAGAAUGCACUACUCCAAGUGUCUGAUAACUUCCUGCAACCUUUGUGACCCUUAUUAUUUCAGCAAAAAGGUACCCGUAAUACCUGCUACUCCAGCAUCAUUCUUUCCUAAUAAAUUACUGCAGGAACAACAAAAGUACAUCUCCUGGUGUGAAGCUGAAAUUACGAGACUUCAAGCAGAAGUCAGUUAUUAUAGAAGCUUAUAUGAGCAAAUUCUUUUAGAAAAAGAACUACAAGCAGAUUAUGCAGAACUCCAUAAGGAGGUAGCAUCAGAAGAAGAAACUGCUAAUAUGCUAUACUCUGAGACAACAGAAGGAAUUUCUGCAAUACAUGAAGGCAAAGGCCCAAGACUUAUCAAGAAUAUGUUGUAUAAUUUACAAGUUGAGAUGGACAUUCCAGGUAUUCCUAAGUUUGCCCUUAAAGCAAUAUUAGAUACAGGCGCAACUACUUACUGUGUUGACCAGCAAUCAGUCCCCAAAGAAGCGCUUGAAGAAAAUACUUUCCUCGCCCACUUUAGCGGAAUAAAUUCCCAACAAACAGCCAAAUUAAAGAUGAGACAGGGCCGAAUGACUAUCGGGGACAAUAACUUCCGAAUCCCCUAUACAUAUAGUUUUCCCAUGGUUCUUGGGGAUAAGAUACAGAUGAUUAUUGGCUGUAAUUUUAUCAAAGCAAUGAAUGGAGGGGUCAGGAUUGAAGGUAAUGUAGUUACCUUUUACAAAAAUUUAACUAUUAUCAACACACUUCCCUCCGCAGAUACUGCAGUUGCUAUAAAGGAACUUGACUUAGAAGAAGAAGAAUAUCUUCAUAUUAAAGAAAUCGUCUCAUAUACCACUGGUAAAUCUUCACAAUCUUUUGCUGAGCAAUUUGACCCCUUAUUAAAGGAACUUAAGGAGUAGGGAUUCAUAGGGGAUAAUCCCCUGCAACACUGGUCGAAGAAUAAAAUUUUAUGUUAUCUGGACAUCAAAAAUUCAGAUUUCAUAAUUGAAGACAGGCCACUCAAGAAUCUUACUCCCAAUCAAAAGGCAGCAUUUACACGGAAGCAUUAUUAAAGUUGCACAUUAUUAGACCCAGCCACAGUCGGCACAGAACGACAGCAAUAAUUGUUAAUUCUGGAACAACUAUUGAUCUAGAUACUGGCCGAGAAGUUAAGGGGAAGGAACGAAUGGUCUUCAAUUAAAAAGACUUAAUGCCCUUACAAACAAAGACCAAUACAGUUUACCAGGUAUUAAUACAAUUUUACAAAAGGUCAGUACAAGCUCUAUUUAUUCUAAGUUUGACCUUAAAAGCGGAUUUCAUCAAGUCGCGAUGCACCCGAAGUCUAUUGAAUGGAUGACAUUUUGUGUACCGGAUGGUUUAUUCGAAUGGCUCGUAAUGCCAUUUGGUCUUAAAAAUGCACUUGUAAUUUUCCAGCACAAAAUGGACAAUUGCUUUAAAGGUACUGACGACUUUAUAGCAGUAUACAUUGAUGAUAUUCUUGUUUUCUCCAAAAAUGAAGUAGAGCACGGAAGGCAUCUACAAAUUAUGCUUAGUAUUUGUCUGCAGAAUGCGUUGAUCCUCAGCCCAUCCAAAAUGAAGUUAGCGGUCCUUGAAAUAGAAUUCCUUGGGGCCAUACUCGGAAACAGAAAGAUAAAGCUUCAGCCUUAUAUUAUUACAAAAAUUACAUAAUUUCAAGAUGAGGGCCUGAUGACAAAGAAAGGCAUGCGAUCAUGGUUAGACAUUCUAAACUAUGCUCGUAAUUAUAGUCCUAACCUCGGUAGAUUACUUGGACCUUUAUAUGCAAAAACUAGUCCUACUGGAGAUAAGCAAAUGAAUUUUCAAGAUUGGUCCUUGGUAAAAAGGAUAAAGGAAACAAUUCGAAAUCUUCCUGAUCUGGAGGUCCCUCCCGAAUAUUGUUUUAUAAUCCUUGAGACUGAUGGGUGUGUUGAAGGAUGGGGCGGGGUAUGCAAAUGGAAAAGAUGUAAAUUUGACCUCGAAUCUUCUGAAAGGGUUUGUGCAUAUGCCAACGGUAAAUACUCACCCCUCAAAUCCACAAUAGAUGUGGAGAUACACGUAGUAAUGAACACCCUAGAAUCUCUCAAGAUCUAUUAUCUGAUAAGCGGGAGCUGAUCAUUCGAACGGAUUGUCAAGCAAUUAUAAGUUUCUUUAGCAAAACUGCUUCCAACAAACCUUCCAAAAUAUGGCGGUUGGCUUUCACCGAUUAUAAUCAUCAACAACCCAGCUUGGAAGCGGAGAAGGAGAUUCUGAAGGUAUUCAACAACCUCUCCAGCUGGCUGAGCAAUACCAAAAGCUACUACAGCGGCAGUACCCAAUAUCCCUGGACGAAGACCAAAGGAUCCGAGAUGAACUGCACAACAUCCAACAAAGAGCUACUGUACAAGCCACGAAUGCACUCCAGCAACUCCGAAUACUGCACUCCCUCAAGUUACGAGAAUGUCAACAGAUAAGCACAAAGGACAACUGGUGGUCAGGAUGACUUCCCAUCACACGUCAAGUGGACCACCAGCUGGAACUGAGAGCUGGCUUACUUAGUGACGCAGUAAGGCGGAUGAAUAAUUUCAGGGUCUGACCCAGUGAAGACCUUUAUGUGCUGGAACCUUAUCCUACUUUACUUUAUAUCAAGUUGUGUCUAAAAGCAAGGAAUCUUAUCUUGCUUUUGUAUUGUAAAAGCUUACUUUAAGAGCUGUAAAAUAAGCACUAUGAACACCUCACAAUAUUCGUUCUUAUCAGAUAAGGAAAGCAUCUUGCGAUGGGACCCAAUGAGCAUCCGAGGAGCUUUCUCAUCUAUAUAAGACUUUUUCGUGCUCCUUUGCAAGGCAUUCAAGCGUCACUCGAGCCUUACCUAGGAGAAGGUCUAAGAGUCUGAGAGCCUGUAAAAAUCUUUGAGGUGUGAAAUAAGAAGGGUUUGCAUCUUUUAAAAAACAAAAACCAAAGAGAAGUAGCCAUGCAGGAAAUGAUCCUCUCCAACACUGAUCCAAGAUUACCCACUCAAACUUUAGCUGCUGCAGCAGAAGCUGCUGCCCUCUCAGCAACAAUUUGCUCAUACAAAUCUCUAAUCUUCAAUCCAACAAUGGUUUGGAAGAGUCCAGUGCCAUUGUUGCUGCCCGGGAAGUCUGAGUGCUUCAACAUCUGCUGCGUCACCUCGCCAUAAAACUUGGUCGAUAAGUUGCUGAGAUGGCUCUCCACAUAGAUCAGCUCGUCCAACCUGUCAAACUUCCCAUCCAUCUCCACAACAGAAACCUGCCAAAGAGUGAUCAUCUCCCGGCUUUAGCUGUUGGAUUGGGAAUCAAAAAGUGUUCAGCUUGGUUAACUAACUAUAAUUGUACCUCGUUGGAGAAGUAAGUCUCAGGGCCAUAGAAGAACUUGAUGCCAGGGUAUGAGCAAGUCAGUUUCCUGCCGCAAGGAAUCCAUGAGAUAGUGGAGCCUUCAUCGAAGAGGUAGAUGGGAGCGAAUCGCUUCACCCCUUCCUUCAUGAUCAACCUCACACGCAGCACCUUCCCCUCGUCGUCAUCAGGGAUUAGCUGUGUCGGUAGGACUUCAAUCACAGCAUCAGCAUAUUGCUUCUGUGGAUCUGCCAACAAGCACAAAAUAGAGGAGCAGCUUUUGUGGGUUCGACUAUUGCAACCAAAUGGACUAGAUGAAUGUACCAAUGUAAGCAUCAAAAUCGGGUUUUCGAGCUUCAAUGCUAGCUUUGAUGCUUUCAAGACUGUGCCCCCGUUCCGCCAUAUCUCUCUGAGAUUGAGAAGAUAAAAUGAGCAACAUUAUGAAAGCUCACAGUAUCUGAAAAUUGGAUUGAAUUUACUUACCUGAAUUUUCCAGGCAAACUUGACCUCGUUACUGAUAUCCAAGUAGAUGCUGAAGUCCAAGAGAUCUCUCACACGAGAGUCGUACCUGUUCGAUAAUGAAGUUGCAAUCACACUCUUAAAACACUGCAUGAUCGCUGAUAUCAUCACACUAUUUUUGUUGUUGAACUGAAAAGAAUCUCAGCAUGGAUCUUUUUCUUCUAUAUGGAUAGUACUCAUUCAAAGAUUAAUAUCUACGAGAAGGAAAACUGAAAGUUUAAUGUCUGCAGAGAACAAUGAAUAGGAUGAUUGAUAUUCACAUGUUAGCAUAGGAUACAGAAAAAAGGAAGAAAAAAACAACUAUAUUGGGAGCUCACAUAGGGUGCAAUCCUUCAAUGACCAGGAUCUUGGGUGGCUUGAUGAGCUCAGGGGGGUCGAGCAGACCAGUGACAUGGUUGUAGAUGGGCUUCUCCACGGCCACUCCAUCCUUGAUCGCCUUCACCUGCUCAUACAUGAGGUCGAAGUCGUUGGCCCUCGGGUCCAGUGCAGUCACCCCCUUCUCCUUCCUUCCUGUCCUGUCCAGGGAGUGGUAGUCGUCAAGGCAUAUCACAGUGGUGGUGUCGCUGAUCAAGGUAUUGGAGUCUGGAUUCCCUCCCCUGGGUGGCUCUGCUGCUCCCCCAAACACACUUGUCAGCCUCCUCAUAAAGGUGCUCUUACCACACCCUGAGUCGGCUGCCAGCCCUAUCACCACUGUCUUCUCAGCAGAGCACACCACUGCACUCCUCCUUCCGCUGCCGAAGAAGAUGAGCUGCUGAUGCCUCUGGUGGAAGCCCAAGCUGAAGGCCUUAGCAGCUGGCCUUGAUAUAGAGCAGGAAUAAGGAGCGGUGUGGAUUGUGCAGCUGGCCAUCUCCCCUUUCUUUGCUCUGCUCGUCUCCCCUACAAAAAUUUGUAGGCUGUUGAAGCUUAGGGAGGCAUCGUAAGGAUAAAGGUGGAGGAGGUGUGUGGUUUGCGAGGCACCUCUUCAUCAUUUUUUUUUAAAUUUAAAAUUAUUUUAAAUGUUGUUACUUAGCGGUAAUUCAUGAUAGUGAUUGGUCUGAGAUCAUCUAGAGGUAAUUUUUGCUUUA